GACGAACGCUGGCGGCGUGCCUAAUACAUGCAAGUCGAGCGGAGCGGCGAACGGGUGAGUAACGGGUGAGUAACUGCCCCCCUCUCUGGGAUAACAGUUGGAAACGGCUGCUAAUACCGGAUCGUGGGGGAUGACUCGCGUCCUAUAAGCUUGUUGGUGGGGUAGGGGCCUCCCAAGGCGACGACGGGUAGCCGGCCUGGGAGGGCGACCGGCCACAGUGGGCUGAGAUACGGCCCAAACUCCUACGGGGGGCAGCAGGGGGGAAUAUUGCACAAUGGGGGAACCCCUGAGGCAGAAACGCCGCGGGCGGGAUGACGGCCUUCGGGUUGUAAACCGCUUUCAGCCAUGACGCGGUAGUGGCAGAAGAAGCACCGGCUAACUACGUGCCAGCAGCCGCGGUAAUUC
rnacentral:rRNA from 1 species